rnacentral:rRNA from 1 species
UCCAGACUCCUACGGGAGGCAGCAGUAGGGAAUAUUGCUCAAUGGGGGGAAACCCUGAUGCAGCGACGCCGCGUGGGUGAAGAAGCGCCUCGGCGCGUAAAGCCCUGUCAGCAGGGAAGAAAAUGACGGUACCUGAAGAAGAAGCCCCGGCUAACUACGUGCCAGCAGCCGCGGUAAUACGUAGGGGGCAAGCGUUAUCCGGAUUUACUGGGUGUAAAGGGGGCGCAGACGGCGAUGCAAGCCAGGAGUGAAAGCCCGGGGCCCAACCCCGGGACUGCUCUUGGAACUGCGUGGCUGGAGUGCAGGAGGGGCAGGCGGAAUUCCUGGUGUAGCGGUGAAAUGCGUAGAUAUCAGGAGGAACACCGGUGGCGAAGGCGGCCUGCUGGACUGCAACUGACGUUGAGGCCCGAAAGCGUGGGGAGCAAACAGGAUUAGAUACCCCAGUA